AUCGGGGCGCCGGAGCGGGAAUCCAGGACAAUCCUUCGAGGGUGUGCACUCUGGACAGCAUGAUGGUCUUCGGGCUCCGCGCGCGCGCCUGCUGGGCUCUGCGGUCCUUCGCUGUUAGCAGGCGAGCGCUGCGCUCCAGUCCGCGCACCCACGCUUUCGCCAAGGAGCUCUUCCUGGGCAGGAUCGAGAAGAAAGAAGUUUUCCCAUUUCCAGAAGUUAGCCAAGAUGAACUUAAUGAAAUCAAUCAGUUUGUGGGACCCAUAGAAAGAUUCUUCACUGAAGAGGUGGACUCUCGAAAAAUUGAUCAGGAGGGAAAAAUCCCAACAGAAACAUUGGAGAAACUGAAGAGCCUGGGGCUUUUUGGGAUGCAAGUCCCAGAAGAAUAUGGUGGCCUGGGCCUCUCCAACACCAUGUAUGCGCGGCUAGGGGAGAUUGUCGGCCUAGACGCGUCAAUCGCUGUGACCCUGGCAGCACACCAGGCCAUCGGCCUCAAGGGGAUCAUCUUGGCCGGUAGUGAAGAGCAGAAGGCCAAAUAUCUGCCCAAACUGGCAUCAGGAGAACACAUUGCCGCCUUCUGCCUGACGGAGCCAGCCAGUGGAAGCGAUGCUGCCUCCAUCCGGACUAGGGCCUCUCUAAGUGAAGAUAAGAAGCACUAUAUCUUGAAUGGCUCCAAGGUCUGGAUCACCAAUGGAGGACUUGCCAGUAUUUUUACCGUGUUUGCUAAAACCAAUGUUGUUGAUUCCGACGGCUCAGUAAAAGACAAAAUGACAGCAUUUAUAGUAGAGAGAGACUUUGGUGGAAUCACUAAUGGGAAGCCUGAAGAUAAGUUAGGCAUCCGUGGCUCAAACACCUGUGAAGUCCAUUUUGAAAACACCAAGGUGCCCAUUGAAAAUGUUCUAGGAGAAGUUGGAGGUGGGUUUAAGGUGGCCAUGAACAUCCUCAACAGUGGGCGGUUCAGCAUGGGCAGUGCUGUGGCCGGGAUGCUCAAGAAAUUAAUCGAAAUGACUGCAGAAUAUGCCUGCACGAGAAAGCAGUUCAACAGGAGCCUCAGUGAAUUUGGAUUAAUUCAGGAAAAGUUUGCCUUGAUGGCUCAGAAGGCUUAUGUAAUGGAAAGUAUGGCCUACCUCACUGCAGGGAUGCUGGACCAACCAGGGUUUCCUGACUGCUCCAUCGAGGCUGCCAUGGUGAAGGUGUUCAGCUCAGAGGGUGCCUGGCAGUGCGUGAGUGAGGCGCUGCAGAUCCUCGGCGGCUCGGGCUACAUGAGGGACUACCCGUACGAGCGCAUGCUGCGUGACACCCGCAUCCUGCUCAUCUUUGAGGGAACCAAUGAGAUUCUCCGGAUGUACAUCGCCCUGACAGGCCUGCAGCACGCCGGACGCAUCCUGACAGCAAGGAUCAACGAGCUUAAACGGGGCAAUGUGACCACUGUCCUGGAGACCGUUGGCCAGAGACUUCGGGACUCCUUGGGCCGAACCGUGGACCUGGGAUUGACAGGGAAUCUCGGAGUUGUGCACCCCAGUGUUGCGGACGGUGCCAACAAGCUCGAGGAGAACGUGUAUUACUUUGGGCGCACUGUGGAGACGUUGCUGCUCCGCUUUGGCAAGACCAUUGUGGAGGAGCAGAUGGUCUUGAAGCGGGUGGCCAACAUCCUCAUCAACCUGUACGGCAUGACAGCUGUGCUGUCUCGGGCCAGCCGCUCCAUACGAGCAGGACUCCGGAACCAUGACCACGAGCAGUUACUCAUCGCCCCCAAAUGCACCUGUGGCCAUCACCGCCCCCCUGGAUCGCUGCAGCGCCUACCAGGGGGCGGUAGCGCCCACUUUGGGAAUCACUGGUUUAGAGGUCAGUCACCAGGGAGGGAGCCCUAUGGCCCAGAGAGCUCAAGGUUCUCUCUGACCUUGGUUCUGGCAGGUUCUGUUGGCCAACAUCUUCUGCACAGAAGCUUAUUGCCAGAAUCUCUUCACCUUAUCUCAGCUGGACAAGUAUUCUCCAGAAAAUCUAGAUGAACAGAUCAAGAAAGUGUCCCAGCAGGUCCUAGAGAAGCGAGCAUACAUCUGUGCCCACCCUUUGGACCGGACAUCCUGAAGCAGAGGGAUGGUGGUCACUGUUGCCGCCAGCCCUCAGGCCACAGCCUGUUGCUGGACAACUCUCACUUUUUCCAGAAGGUGUUGAACUUGGGGUUAUUUUAAGUUGAACUUUAUUCCCAGUCUUUAUCUGAGGUCUUUCUCUUCGCCUGGAGAAACUUCUUCUAGGCUUGAUCUGUGAGCACUGCUGCCUAACAUGAUCAUUCCAGGUUCCUAGUGGAGAUGGAGAUGGAUAGAGAGAGAAUGGAGUUGCUGAGACCUGGAAUUAGAGGAUACGCUCUUAGUUUAGGAGACCUCAGAAUGGAAACGGGCGCUUGAGCUGCUGCCUCUGUCGCAUGAGCCUGCGGGGACCUAUUUCGGGCAUGGACGGCCAGUUCUACUAGACCACACCUUUCCCAAGAAAUAGCUUGAAAGCUGUGUAUGUGUCAUUCAUUCAGACUAGCAGCAAAAUAUACUUAAAACAUGUACCAGGAACCACUUAACAAAAAAAGAAUAUAAAAUGGCACAGUUUGUGUUUACCCUUCUAGUCAUGUUUUUCCUCAGAACCAGCCUUUAAUGGAUGGCAGCAUGCUCCUAAAAACCACCCUUUGGUGAUGGCUCUCAGUCUCUUUUGUCCUCAACCUGUGAGAAGAAGGCCUUGAAAGCUGAGGAGCAGGUUCCCUCUGCAGGGCCAUGGGGAUUAUGAGCCCUAUCUUUGAUCCCUCUCGGUGAUGGCUGGAAAACAGCAUUGCUUGGUACAUGACAACAUAUGCUUGUUUCCACCUGGGUUUUUCUGUCUGUUUUCUUUGCAAGGAUUGCCUGUCUACAGUGGACCAGAAAGUUGACAUUGCCUAAGGCCACUGGAACUGGUACAUACAGCACCUGAGUUUAGAGAAUGGAAAUAAAAGUAGCAACACCUACAAACAUCCCCAAAGGAAGGGGAAAGUAAGAAUAGAUACUUUUGAAGAAAUAAUGAGUAUCGAAUUGAUAAGGAAAAUUCCAAGCCUGGACACAUUUUUAGUGAGAUUUAAAACAAAGGCAAAGAUGAAUUCUGAAAAGUAACAGAGAAAAAGGGCAGGGCACCUGUGAAGGAAAAAGUACGAUGAACAUCAGAUCCCACAACAGCAAUGCUGUAAAUAAGAAGACUUCCUCUAGUGAGGGAAGAAACAGAAUUUAAAGAUACGGUUAUAGAAGAUUUGAAAAAAAUUGACAUAUAUAGAACAUUAUCAACAACUACAGGAAUACACAUAUAUUUCAAGUAAGUUGGGACAUUUACCAGAAUUGAUAUGCUGAACCACAAAUCAAAUCUCAGCAAUGGAUAGAAGAUAUACAGUAAAAUCAAGGUAGAACUCAGUAACAAAAAGAUAUGGGUAACUGAAACUUCCUAAAGUAUUUAGAAAUUAAACAGUAUACUAUUAAAUAACCCAUGUGUCAAAGAAAAAAUAAAAAUGGAAUUAGAAAUA